UCUCCAACUGGGGCAUCAACUCUUGUAUUGUGUCCUGGCUGAGUUCUUGUGAAGCUGUAGUCUGUAUUAACCAGUUGUUUCUGUGUUGGUGGAAUGGGUCCUCGUGGGCCUGGAGGACCAGGUUGGGGAGGCCCUGGCCCUGGUUCUUGGGGGCCUUGGUUUGGUGGCUUCUUCGGAUCCUGCUUCUACCUCCUCUGUUGUUGCUGCCUGCUCCAAGACUGCUGCGCCCCAUUCUUCGGACCCCCGGGCCCAGGCGGCUCACCACCACCACCCUUCUGAUAGCAGCCCAGCAUAUCCACCACAACGAAUAAUGCAGGCCUAAAUGUUGGCUCAAGAGCUUACUUGUGUGAACAUCCUGGCUGUUGAGAGUACCCCUUGCUACAGUAGUACACACACUACUGAAAAUAAUUGUCCUGUAUCUCUUGGAGAUGACUGUAUGCAGUCUUACCUAGUUACGUGGCACUUAUAUUGUUUGUACUGACUAAAUGCAAUUAUCGGUUACAUUUUGUUGGUGCUAUUUCUAGAUGGUUUUUGUAGAUUCAGUUCUUUACAUAAUUUUUGCCGGGCAGGUGUUCUAAUUUUACCAUAUGCUGUUGGAGGAUAUAUGUGUUGAUUAGAUUAGAUCAUACCAUACCAUAAACUUAAUUUGACACAAUUUUACUUUACAUACACCUUUUUUUGUUUAGCAUGUACUGAGUAGAGGCGAGGGUUGCAUGUUUACCUUGCCGGCACCUUCAAAGGAAAUGGUCGAUGGUGAUGGCCUUACUCAUAUUUCAGUAUGAACCAUUUCGCCUUCAUGUAAGGAGUGCAGUACUGUCUCUUUUGGUUUGUUCUGCUACUCCACUCUUGCAUAUUUCUUCUGGGAAUCUCUGCACAAAUAUCAGAGUAGCCAAUUUGCACAAUAUGUUUCAGCACAUAGGAAAAUAUUGACCAAAAUAUUUGGAACUGACAUAUUGACCAAAAUUCCUCCUUUUUUUGCCUUUACUUCUGAGAGCUUGAAUGAUGGAGAUAGAUAAUUUGCACUGACCCAUUUCAAAGGAAAUGGUCGAUGGUGUUAUAUGUUGCUUAUAAUUUUGCGACGGGUCUUACUCAUAUUUCACCAUGAAAACCAUUUCACCUUCAUAUAAGGAGUGCACUAUUGUUUCAGACCUUGUUGCCUUGUUGGCAUUAGAAUGCAGUUUUGUUGCUAAUAGUACAACAAAAUUUCUGUUUCUCAAUUACCAAUAUUUCUUCUAGGAAUCUGUGCACCAAUAUUAGAUUAGCCAACUUGCACAAUAUGUUUCAGUUCCACCCUAGGAACUUACAUAUUGACCAAAAUUCCUCCCUUUUUGCCUUUACUUUUGAGAGGGAGAAUGAUGGAGAUAGAUAAUUUGCACUGAAUCAAUCAACUAAGUACCAAAUUUUGCGCAUGCUGCUCAGUCCAGUCUGGAAUAACUCAAUCAUGUUUGACAAAUUCAGCUUCCAUUCAUGGAAGGAAUAAGGCUACGAUUAAAAACUAUGAAAUUUGAUUAAGCAAGUGAUAAUGAAAAAUUUAGAGCCAGUUUAUCCCCAUUGGUGUGUUAGUCCAGUGCAGCAUGCUAGAAUUAUAAAUAGUUGAGAACUAGAGAUGUGAUUUGCAGCUCACUAUUUCUGCUAUGAACUUGAGAUUUGAUUUGCAUAUAAUAAUUCCUGAGCUGAGACAGCACAUAGCUGAUUUUUACAUAUUCUAGCCGUGUAGGUGUUUCAAGUUUACAUACAAAACGCUGUUAGGAGGAUACCAAUGUCGACGACUAGAGUAGUUGUUGGUACAUAGAACAGAGUAACAGUUAUAUUAUUUGCCUGGCUGGUGUUCUACUUGUACCUAUCAUGUUCUGAAGAUGCUCUGGAACAAAGCUGGUGAGAGUAUUGCUGCAUCAAUAUUUUGCUAAUUGAUCCGCCUUGUAUCUCUGUUUUAUCGGGUUGAGGAACUGAAUUUGCUUUAUAUUAUUUAUUAUGUCAAGGGAAAAAACAUUUAUUAGAAGCUAGGAAAUGUUUUCCUUUUCUUAGUACUCCCUCUGUUCACUUUUAUAAGGCGUUGUAGACACUUCAGACAGCGUGCAAAACAACUCAAUUUUAGUUGUCUGAAAUGACUUAUUAAAGUGAACGGAGGGAGUAGAAGGUAAAAUCUGCUUUUCUCUAGCAAUAGAAGGAAAAUUUUGCAUUUUUUAGCGAAUUUGUUUUUUUAGCAAUGCGAAUUUGUUUUUCUAUUUCCCUAAAAAAAAGUUCACAGUGAUCUUCUUCUUGGGCUAAGCCCAGCCCAUUGAGAGCUACUAUUUCCAAGAGUUCAUGGGCUAGGCCCAUUUCUAUUCAACCUAAACGAUCUUCUCGUUCCAAUCGGCCGCCACCAGCACGAGCGCACAACUCCACAAUUCUUCUCGUCCAUGGCAGCAGGACGAGCGACGCGUCUCCUCAGCGGGCUCCCAGAUGAGAUCGUGAUCUGGGAGAUCCUCGUCCCCCUCGACCCCAAAUCCCUCCUCCGCUGCCGCGCCGUCUGCCGCGCCACCUCCGCCGGGGGCUUCCUCCUCGCCCACCACGCCCGCCAGCCGGCCCACCCCCUCCUCCACAGCGUCCAACGCAUCCCCGGUCUCCAUCGCUAUAACAUCAUCGUCUUCGACCACCAGGCCGCCGCUGACGCCCAGCUCCAUACCGUGGCUCAGCUUGGCCGGUCCUUCUCCCCGGAGGCCUCCUGCGACGGCCUCCUCCUCCUCUCCAGGCUUGAAAAGACCGGGCCAAUAGCUCCUAUGCGACACAAUUGGCAAGGGUGCGACGUUGUUCGAGUGAAUGGCUGUGGUGCGACAAUUUUGAGCAGGUAAAUAGCCCAUGCACGACAUGGCUGUUAAACUCAACUGAUGCCCUCGUUAGCUGUUGGGGGUUGGACUCACCACUUAUCCACGUAAGCGCGGGACCCACCACUUGUCUAUUCGCGGGACCCACCUCCUCGCAGCUAGAAGAGACAAGCGCCCGUGCCCGUCCGCCCGCCGCCGCCCAUUCAUCCCCUUUCCCCAAUCUUUCUCUUCUCUGGCGACCUAGCGCAAAUGUCUACCUCCUCCGCCACACACUCAAAAUGGCGACAGUAUGGACCAGUGCUGCUCACAAGGUGCCCUGACUGCCCACGCCCAGACCCUCUUAAACGGUUGGUCACUAAGAGGGAUGACAAUGGCAAUCUUGGGCGGGAAUUUGUGAAAUGCUUGAGCAAACCAAUGGCAGGAAGGGAUGGCAAGAUCUUGAAGAAAUGU